CAUCAGGAACACCUGCAUUACUACUCUGUCACAUGCAAGAUAGGUAGAGGUAGCAAGUGGCGUCAAAUCAUAGACACCCCCUCGCCACUAGAUGGUGGUUUCGAGAUGGCUAGCUUAGUCUGGCGCUGGAUAAAUAACUAAAAUAGCCCUAUUGAUCUUAGUCACGCAUUUGUGCUAGCACCAUGGGUCAUAGGAUUAUACAUAUGGUCGACGACAACUUCACUACCUGACUAUGGACCCUUCCUGGUGGCGAUAGAAUCACUCAAUCCUAUCAACAUACACGCCAAUGACCAUCACCGUCUUCUUGGGCUUUUAGAGGAGCAACCAUGAUGGCAUUCACAUGAGCUUCAGGAUUGCAUCCACAUUAGUGUUUUCGGUAUGUAUAGAAAAAACCGGAUUGGAUGCAAGAUAUUGAAUUGAAAGUCUUGUAGUCCUUCCUCCGCUCUCUUCGCCUCUACCUUUGAUGGAGACUUAGCCUUUAGUUAUUGAUGUCGAUGUAAUUGUCAUGGCUGAUGUUGCCACAUAAAGCUGAAAAAUAAAAAAAAAUACUUAACGGAGCUGCAAUUGUAGGAUAUGCACCUCGCAUGUGUUAGAGGGUGUUGUUGGGGUGUCUUGCAUAUAUCAGAGAACGUGUGAGACUGAUU
rnacentral:lncRNA from 7 species